GAUGAACGCUGGCGGCGUGCCUAAUACAUGCAAGUCGAGCGAACGGACGAGAAGCUUGCUUUUCUGAUGUUAGCGGCGGACGGGUGAGUAACACGUGGAUAACCUACCUAUAAGACUGGGAUAACUUCGGGAAACCGGAGCUAAUACCGGAUAAUAUUUUGAACCGCAUGGUUCAAAAGUGAAAGACGGUCUUGCUGUCACUUAUAGAUGGAUCCGCGCUGCAUUAGCUAGUUGGUAAGGUAACGGCUUACCAAGGCAACGAUGCAUAGCCGACCUGAGAGGGUGAUCGGCCACACUGGAACUGAGACACGGUCCAGACUCUUACGGGAGGCAGCAGUAGGGAAUCUUCCGCAAUGGGCGAAAGCCUGACGGAGCAACGCCGCGUGAGUGAUGAAGGUCUUCGGAUCGUAAAACUCUGUUAUUAGGGAAGAACAUAUGUGUAAGUAAUUGUGCACAUCUUGACGGUACCUAAUCAGAAAGCCACGGCUAACUACGUG
rnacentral:rRNA from 1 species